AACGAACGCUGGCGGCGUGCCUAAUACAUGCAAGUCGAGCGAGAUCUUCGGAUCUAGUGGCGCACGGGUGCGUAACGCGUGGGAAUCUACCCUUGGGUUCGGAAUAACUUCGGGAAACUGAAGCUAAUACCGGAUGAUGACGUAAGUCCAAAGAUUUAUCGCCCAGGGAUGAGCCCGCGUAGGAUCAGCUAGUUGGUGAGGUAACGGCCCACCAAGGCUAUGACGGGUAGGGGGUGUGAGAGCACGGCCCCCAACGACACCACUGAGACACGGGGUGUACACCUACGGGUGGCUGCAGUCGAGAAUAUUCGAUAAUGGACGAAAGUCUGAUCGAGCGACGCCGCGUGCAGGAAGAAGGCCUUCGGGUUGUAAACUGCUUUUGCGUGGGAAGAAUUUUGACGGUACUACGAGAAUAAGGGGUUGCUAACUCUGUGCCAGCCGCCGCCGUAAUAC
rnacentral:rRNA from 1 species